ACACACACACACACUAAAAACCACACACACAAAUAUAGUUUCUCAUUCUCGUCUUUUCUUCUCUCAGGCGUCCAGAGACAUCCUUCCUGUGGUUCUCCUCCCCUUACAAGACCCUCAAAUACAUCCUGUGGAGACGGUUCAAGUGGUUCAUCAUUCUCUUCAUUUUCCUCUUCUUCAUUAUCCUCUUCCUUGGAGUCUUCCUCUACUCCUUCCCGAACUAUGCUGCCAUGAAGAUGGUGGGACCAUUUGGACCAGCCAAGGAAACAACUUAAGAUGAGGAGCAUUUGAAGGAAAAGACAAACAGACGUGAACAAAUGGAGACAAUGAGAAACCACACCACUGUUCUGAGAGUGAAACAAGCACGGAUUUUAUUAGCCCUUUCUUCUUCUUUUUGAGACUUUUUCUGUUGUCUUCCUGGAGUCAUGAGUGAUGAAGUCAGCCAAAUUGUCAGAUCCAGAUGUCCUUUGAUAUAGUCACACCUGAUUAGCAGUGGCUGUAUGUGCGCUUAUGUUUGAUAUGUGUGCAUUUUGUGCCUUUACAGUUAGAUUCACUUCUGUACUUCUGUGCUGAAAGCGUUUCCAAAGUUACUAUCAGAACUCAGCGUGUGCCGUCUGCAUCGCCGUCAUCCCUCAGUCACCGCUUUCAUCUCUCUUCCCGCCUCGCGCUCUCUCUGCUGCCCUCAUGCAGGGGAGGACAAGAAGAAAAGCUCGCCGCUGAGUGAGGCUGCGCUCCGAAACGGCAGAAACAGAAUUAAAGAUCGUGAUUUUGAUGGUGUUUGAUCUUUUUACCGCCCGCUGCUUCCCUGCGAGAGGCAUAGUCAGGUCAGGCAGUCAGUUUACCGACUCAUGUCAAACUUUAUCACUCCAAAAAAUUCAAUCUGAGGUUAAAGCGUGGCGGGAGUUUUCAGCUAUCAUUCUCUUUGAAUCACCUUUUAAUGUUGUUGCCCUGCUGCUUUCAAGUGCAAUCAGACUUUUAUUUUUAAAAUGUUCAGAUCAGAGUUAAGUUGUUAGAAGUGAAACAUAAUAUCCAGGCUGGGUGUUUUUUUUUCUUUGAUUAUAUUUUUAUUACAGCAGGUCACAUACAGGUUGUGUGGGAUUUCCCAGCACUUACUGAAUACUGUUAAAAACAAAUUUUCGAGCUCCUCUCCUUAACUAUCAGUUCUUCUCCUUCUUUUCCCUCGUCUUCCUCCGUUUUCCCCCUCCUCCUUCUCUAUCCAACCUAAUCCCUCUCCUCCUCAGGGUUCAGCAGGUUAAGUCAGGGAUUUGCUUUUGAGCCGUAUUAUUACACAGCAUGUUUUAGAUAGAUGAUGUGGGCUGAUACGGACACACAAGGACACAUUGUGUUGUUGAUCCUUAAACCGCUCAAGCUUUAGUGAGCAAAGCCGAACAUCGGUGAACGAUAAAGAAGAACAGAGUCAUGAUUUGAAAAAUUUUAUGUAAAGUCUCAUUUUUGCUUAUAUUUAUUAUCUUCUUUUCUUUGGGUGCAACCACAUCCUGGCUUAGUUUGGUUUGCUCCACAGUGGAAAAGUUGACUUGGACCCUUUUAGUUCAUUUUAGGUUCACACCAGCUGGUUACAGGUCGAGCAGGCCUCGUAAAUAAAAGUCACAUCGACUCACAAGCAGCUCAUUAACGUGAGCACUUUUGGUAACCUGUCGUCCUGCCAGGUCAGAGAGGAUUUACCUCCAAGCUUCACUACAUCAGCAUAUAUCACUGUUUCUGAGAGUAGGUGUUUUUUUGUGUGUAUUCUGUUUGUUUGUUUGUUUUUUACGUUAGCGUAUUUCAAUGUUCACCUUUAAAUGCUGCAUUUUUCUCUUUUUUUGUAUUUUUUUUUUAAUCAGAGAUUUGAUUCAACUAAAAAGGCAAAAAGUCUCACGAAAACCAAAUUCAAAAACCUCUGAGGGUAAGGCUUACUAAAGUGCAUUUGAUUUAUGCUGCAGAUACAUAUGAAAUGAAAUCAAGUGCUUUAUGAUUAUUUUCCAAGUACUCACAGUAUGUUGAGUUUCUGCAUAGCAUUUAAUCUCCCUUUUUGAAUGUAGGGAAUUAAGUUUUGAAGUAUGAAUUCCAUAGUUUCUGUCUUAAUUAGCCAAAGUGUGGAGGACCAAAGCUGCCAGAGAAAGACAAAAGUUAACAUCAGAAAAUGAAUGAAUAUGGCAUUAAAUGUAGCAAAUUAAAAUUAUAAAUAUUAUAAGCAUUAUUUUCUUUUAAAAGCUUGUGGAUGAAAUGCAUUAUUAUUUAUUUUUAUUUUUAUGUACUUAUGCACCUUUUGUGUAACUUUCACUUUAUUAUUUACCAUUUAUUUUGCUUUUUUAAAUCAGUUUACUCAUUUUUAAAUGUAUUUAUUUAUGUAUUAAAUGGCAGUGCUAUUUUCACAAUGAUUAAUUAACUUCUUGGACACAAAGCCUCCUGGUGUUGAUCAACCACGAGGAUGAUCUUAAAGAAAGUUUCCCAGCAUAUAUUGAACAAAUACUAAAAGCCACACCUUGGUGGCCACACUGUUUUUUUUUUUUUCAUCAUGAAACUGAAAUGUAAAAUAAAAAGGUUUGAGGGAAAAAAAUUAAUGGAAAAAAUAGGAAAGUAAAUAGACUGGUUGUACAGGUAAUUAACGAGCAUUAAAUGAAACCAAAAAAAAAGAAAAAAAAUCCUACAUGGAAUGUAUUAGUUGCAAUGCGUGUAAUGCCAUAUUUAUUUAUUAGGUCUUUUUUUUAAAUGAUAAUUUGUUUAAAUUUUGACAGUUUUAGUCCUCCACUGUUGACUUCCUAACUUUAAUGCACUAAAAAAAACCAACUUUAUUAUAAUUUUAGUUUGUGAGAGAAAAGAAGGAUCAGACUAAUAAACUUCAAAUUUAUUUAAAAAAAAAAAACAACCCACACACACUUUACAUUUUUAUUCUAAAACAUUUCCAGCAGACACAGCUGGAACACCAAAUACCCCAAAUCUGCCUGACUGUGGGAUGUUUAAAGUGUCUGAUGGUUUCAAGUUAGUUAUGGGGAAGUAUUUCAGGUUACUUCUCACUGGCCUGAGGGUCUUCCAGAUGUUUAUAUUGCAGAUAUUCUUGGUUCAUAUACAAGUUUAUUAUAAUAAUAAUAAUAAUGAUAAUUAUUAUUAUUGUUGUUGUUAUUAUAGCUAAUAAAAAUGAUGCAAACAGUAUAGUUUAGAAUUGUUUGAAUUAAAAACUUAAAAACUUUUGUAGUUCUGCAGGUCCUACAGAAAUAAUGGAUGGAUGAAUGUCAUCUGCAGGUGAACAUUUGUGCGUUUAAAAAAGACCAUAAUGCUAAACAACAUGAAAAGUUCUGUGCUUUGUGUCGUAAUGCAUCAGAUCUCUGUUUAGAGGUGGGCAUUAUUGUCAAUUAAGCAGAAAAAGCAGAAUAUUUCUUCAGCUUUUUUAAGUUUGUAACUUUUGUUUUAGAGUUUUGAAAUACCUUUAUAUAUUGAAGUUCUGCUGAUGUUAACAAGUCUUGAAAGGGUGAAAUUUUACUGAGACAAUCCUGCUUACAGUGCCAUAUACACUGGUUAUUUGAAGUCUCGAGAAGCCGAACAUUAACUCAGCGCUGUUUUGACCUGACAUUAUUCUUCUCAGUGAAUGCAACGUGCCUUCAAGUCUUUAGCCUUUAGCUUUGCUGCCUUGUCGUAUAGCAACACUAGCUAACACCUUCCUCAACAGGAAACGAAAACAAAAUCACAUGCUUCUGUGACAGUUUAAUGCUGCUUAUCUCUUCACUGUUAUCUGCAGAAACCAGGGGUUGAUCUUGUUCUUUGAACCUAUUGUUUUACUCUUCUUGUAAACUGCACUGUGCUUCAGUUUUAGACACAAGCAGGGCUCUGCUGCUGGCUGUGAUAAACUCCUGCUGCCAAAAAACUGCACUGAAAAAUAACACGCGGGGACUUUGUCAUGUGAAAGGACAAAGCCCUUUGCUGUUACUGUUUAAUGUUUUGUGGGAGAUGUGCACUGAAUGUUUUCUACACAAGAUAUGAAUUAGACUUCAUAGCUGCAGAGAGAAAUACUGUGUGCACUGCAUUAUGUCUGUAUUAUCAAUAAAACUGCACUCUUA
ensembl:lncRNA